AUUGAACGCUGGCGGCAGGCCUAACACAUGCAAGUCGAGCGGAUGAAGGGAGCUUGCUCCUGGAUUCAGCGGCGGACGGGUGAGUAAUGCCUAGGAGUCUGCCUGGUAGUGGGGGAUAACGUCCGGAAACGGGCGCUAAUACCGCAUACGUCCUGAGGGAGAAAGUGGGGGAUCUUCGGACCUCACGCUAUCAGAUGAGCCUAGGUCGGAUUAGCUAGUUGGUGGGGUAAAGGCCUACCAAGGCGACGAUCCGUAACUGGUCUGAGAGGAUGAUCAGUCACACUGGAACUGAGACACGGUCCAGACCCCUACGGGAGGCAGCAGUGGGGAAUAUUGGACAAUGGGCGAAAGCCUGAUCCAGCCAUGCCGCGUGUGUGAAGAAGGUCUUCGGAUUGUAAAGCACUUUAAGUUGGGAGGAAGGGCAGUAAGUUAAUACCUUGCUGUUUUGACGUUACCAACAGAAUAAGCACCGGCUAACUUCGUG
rnacentral:rRNA from 1 species